rnacentral:misc_RNA from 1 species
UCUCCGUUGGUGAACCAGCGGAGGGAUCAUUAGAGAGUUGCAAAACUCCCACACCAUUGCGAACGCACCCCGUAGCCGUUGCCUCGGCGGGUGGGGCCCCCAGGGGCCGCCCCGCCGGCAGCACGCGAACCUCUGUUUAUUGUGGCCUCUCUGAGUAACUAGACAAAUAAGUCAAAACUUUCAACAACGGAUCUCUUGGUUCAG